rnacentral:rRNA from 1 species
GUCGAACGGAGUGAAGAUGCUUGCAUCUGAACUUAGUGGCGGACGGGUGAGUAACACGUGAGCAACCUGCCUUUCAGAGGGGGAUAACGUUUGGAAACGAACGCUAAUACCGCAUAAAAUAUCGGAGUCGCAUGGCACUGAUAUCAAAGGAGCAAUCCGCUGAAAGAUGGGCUCGCGUCCGAUUAGGCAGUUGGCGGGGUAACGGCCCACCAAACCGACAAUCGGUAGCCGGACUGAGAGGUUGAACGGCCACAUUGGGACUGAGACACGGCCCAGACUCCUACGGGAGGCAGCAGUGGGGGAUAUUGCACAAUGGGGGAAACCCUGAUGCAGCGAUGCCGCGUGAAUGAAGACGGCCUUCGGGUUGUAAAGUUCUGUCGCAGGGGACGAAAAUGACGGUACCCUGCAAGAAAGCUCCGGCUAACUACGUGCCAGCAGCCGCGGUAAUACGUAGGGAGCAAGCGUUGUCCGGAAUUACUGGGUGUAAAGGGAGCGUAGGCGGGAGGAUAAGUUGAAUGUGAAAUCUAUGGGCUCAACCCAUAGCUGCGUUCAAAACUGUUCUUCUUGAGUGAAGUAGAGGCAGGCGGAAUUCCUAGUGUAGCGGUGAAAUGCGUAGAUAUUAGGAGGAACACCAGUGGCGAAGGCGGCCUGCUGGGCUUUUACUGACGCUGAGGCUCGAAAGCGUGGGUAGCAAACAGGAUUAGAUACCCUGGUAGUCCACGCGGUAAACGAUGAUUACUAGGUGUGGGUGGACUGACCCCAUCCGUGC